AACGAACGCUGGCGGCAUGCCUAACACAUGCAAGUCGAACGAGACCUUCGGGUCUAGUGGCGCACGGGUGCGUAACGCGUGGGAACCUGCCUUUAGGUUCGGAAUAACUCAGAGAAAUUUGAGCUAAUACCGGAUAAUGUCUUCGGACCAAAGAUUUAUCGCCUUUAGAUGGGCCCGCGUUGGAUUAGCUAGUUGGUGGGGUAAAGGCCUACCAAGGCGACGAUCCAUAGCUGGUCUGAGAGGAUGAUCAGCCACACUGGGACUGAGACACGGCCCAGACUCCUACGGGAGGCAGCAGUGGGGAAUAUUGGACAAUGGGCGAAAGCCUGAUCCAGCAAUGCCGCGUGAGUGAUGAAGGCCUCGGGUUGGUUAAAGACGUCUUUUGUCCCGGGUACCGGAUAAU
rnacentral:rRNA from 1 species